CUAUACAUGCAGUCGAGCGGACAGAAGGGAGCUUGCUCCCGGAUGUUAGCGGCGGACGGGUGAGUAACACGUGGGUAACCUGCCUGUAAGACUGGGAUAACUCCGGGAAACCGGAGCUAAUACCGGAUAGUUCCUUGAACCGCAUGGUUCAAGGAUGAAAGACGGUUUCGGCUGUCACUUACAGAUGGACCCGCGGCGCAUUAGCUAGUUGGUGGGGUAAUGGCUCACCAAGGCAACGAUGCGUAGCCGACCUGAGAGGGUGAUCGGCCACACUGGGACUGAGACACGGCCCAGACUCCUACGGGAGGCAGCAGUAGGGAAUCUUCCGCAAUGGACGAAAGUCUGACGGAGCAACGCCGCGUGAGUGAUGAAGGUUUUCGGAUCGUAAAGCUCUGUUGUUAGGGAAGAACAAGUGCGAGAGUAACUGCUCGCACCUUGACGGUACCUAACCAGAAAGCCACGGCUAACUACGUGCCAGCAGCCGCGGUAAUACGUAGGUGGCAAGCGUUGUCCGGAAUUAUUGGGCGUAAAGGGCUCGCAGGCGGUUUCUUAAGUCUGAUGUGAAAGCCCCCGGCUCAACCGGGGAGGGUCAUUGGAAACUGGGAAACUUGAGUGCAGAAGAGGAGAGUGGAAUUCCACGUGUAGCGGUGAAAUGCGUAGAGAUGUGGAGGAACACCAGUGGCGAAGGCGACUCUCUGGUCUGUAACUGACGCUGAGGAGCGAAAGCGUGGGGAGCGAACAGGAUUAGAUACCCUGGUAGUCCACGCCGUAAACGAUGAGUGCUAAGUGUUAGGGGGUUUCCGCCCCUUAGUGCUGCAGCUAACGCAUUAAGCACUCCGCCUGGGGAGUACGGUCGCAAGACUGAAACUCAAAGG
rnacentral:rRNA from 2 species